rnacentral:rRNA from 1 species
CGGGUGAGUAAUGUCUGGGAAACUGCCUGAUGGAGGGGGAUAACUACUGGAAACGGUAGCUAAUACCGCAUAACGUCGCAAGACCAAAGAGGGGGACCUUCGGGCCUCUUGCCAUCGGAUGUGCCCAGAUGGGAUUAGCUAGUAGGUGGGGUAACGGCUCACCUAGGCGACGAUCCCUAGCUGGUCUGAGAGGAUGAUCAGCCACACUGGAACUGAGACACGGUCCAG